ACUGUAGGUGAAAGCUUACAUCUCUUCGGAGCGAUUUUACGUAGGUGCUGCAUGGUUGUCGUCAGCUCGUGCCGUGAGGUGUCGGGUUAAGUCCCAUAACGAGCGCAACCCCUACCUUUAGUUGCCAUCAGGUUAAGCUGGGGACUCUAAAGGAACUGCCUACGCAAGUAGUGAGGAAGCGGGGAGUGACGUCAAAUCAGCACGGCCCUUACGUCCAGGGCUACACACGUGCUACAAUGGCCGAUACAGAGGGCAGCUACCUGGUGACAGGAUGCAAAUCUCCAAAGUCGGUCUCAGUUCGGAUCGGAGUCUGCAACCCGACUCCGUGAAGUUGGAUUCGCUAGUAAUCGCGCAUCAGCCAUGGCGCGGUGAAUACGUUCCCGGGCCUU
rnacentral:rRNA from 1 species